rnacentral:lncRNA from 1 species
GUGUGUCCCUGGCUGCAGCUAGUAGCCGCGCAGUUUAAAUCAUGCAUGCAUAUGAAUGAGUAAGCGUAAAGUGUAGAUUUUACUUACUUUCGUCUAGUUUUUUCACAUCGCCCUGGAGUUCAGGGUAACUUUGAUAUCUUGGCACGAUUGAUGGUACAGCCGGUAGGCUCCUGGUAGUCCGGCGCAGGAUAGUGAAGCGCGACAGCCGUUGUCCCGAGAACUGACGGUGACGACAGUCGACAUACCGGGGAGGGCGUGCGAGUCUUUUUUAUGAUGUGUAGUUGAGGUAUACGGCAGCGUUUCUAAGUUGUCAAGUCCGUCCUAAACGUGAAAACAAGUUGCAACCAGCAACAGACAGGCCGGCCGGUGCAAAUUACUGUAAGAGCUGUUUUCAACUUAUACUGACUCUAGCAAGCAAAUAGCAACUGUCAUUCUCUGUUGCACCACUUGCCAAUGCCUCUCUACAUAUAUAUCUCUUUCCUCUUUGACUGAUCAGUACCUCCGCUGCUUCCCCUCGAGAAAAAAAAAGUACAUCCACUGCUCGCUCGCUUUCGUGAAAAAGAAAAAAGUAGCAAAUGCGCCUCUUUACUGCUCGAAAGGAAAAGCUGAAGAAUUAAUUGAGGCAGGAAAACUAGUGUCCAUGUAUACUCUCGGCAGCGUCAAGUAACUGUUUAAAGUGAACAUGCGCUACAUCACAUCCUUUUACUCCAUUAACUGAGCUUAGUUGAU